rnacentral:rRNA from 1 species
UCAGACGAUGCGUCAUGCAUAUCAAUAAGCGGAGGAAAAGAAACUAACAAGGAUUCCCCUAGUAACGGCGAGUGAAGCGGGAAGAGCUCAAAUUUGAAAUCUUAAAGGGUUUCCCUUUACGAAUUGUAGUUUAAAGAAGUGUCUUCUGUUGAGGUUUUGGUAAAAGUUCUUUGGAAUAGGACAUCAUAGAGGGUGAGAAUCCCGUAUUUGACCUUUACUUUCAACUUUGUGAUACACUUUCAAAGAGUCGGAUUGUUUGGGAAUGCAGUCCAAAAUGGGUGGCUAAAUUUCAUCUAAAGCUAAAUAUUGGCGAGAGACCGAUAGCGAACAAGUACCGUGAGGGAAAGAUGAAAAGAACUUUGAAAAGAGAGUUAAACAGUACGUGAAAUUGUCAAAAGGGAAGCGUUUGACACCAGUGUUGUUCUUUCUGAAAAUCAAUUAAAGAACUGUUUAUGCUAAGCUGUUUAGACUUUAUCAGCUAUCUGUUUAGUUUUGAGCUUUUCUUUAAUGCACCUUUUCAGUUAACAAGUCAACAUCAAUUUCUUUUGCUGUAAAAAAGCUUGAGGAAGGUGGCUUGAGAUUCGUCUUAAGUGUUUAUAGCCUCUUGCCUAUGCAGUCGGAGAGAUUGAGGUCUGCAGCGUAGAUCCUUCGGGGCUAAAUGCAUUUGUGCUAAGUUAUAACAUUUUAUAGACAACUUGUUGACUAUGAUUUGUCUUGUAGCUUACUCGCUUAUGUUAUUUUACCUACGCUUAGGAUGUUGAAGAUGUAGCACAUCAU